CAGUAGCCGCGGGAAUACGAGGGGGGCAAGCGUUGUUCGGAAUUAUUGGGCGUAAAGGGUGCGUAGGCGGCUUGACAAGUCUUGUGUGAAAUCUAUGGGCUCAACCCAUAGUCUGCACGGGAAACUGUCGGGCUUGAGAAUGGGAGAGGUGAGUGGAAUUUCCGGCGUAGCGGUGAAAUGCGUAGAUAUCGGAAGGAACACCUGUGGCGAAAGCGGCUCACUGGACAAUAACUGACGCUGAUGCACGAAAGCUAGGGGAGCAAACAGGAUUAGAUACCCCCGUAGUCCCUGUCUCUUAUAC
rnacentral:rRNA from 1 species